rnacentral:rRNA from 1 species
AACGAACGCUGGCGGCAGGCUUAACACAUGCAAGUCGAGCGCCCCGCAAGGGGAGCGGCAGACGGGUGAGUAACGCGUGGGAACGUACCUUUUGGUUCGGAACAACUCCGGGAAACUGGAGCUAAUACCGGAUAAGCCCUAACGGGGCAAGAUUUAUCGCCGAAAGAUCGGCCCGCGUCUGAUUAGCUAGUUGGUGAGGUAACGGCGCACCAAGGCGACGAUCAGUAGCUGGUCUGAGAGGAUGAUCAGCCACACUGGGACUGAGACACGGCCCAGACUCCUACGGGAGGCAGCAGUGGGGAAUAUUGGACAAUGGGCGCAAGCCUGAUCCAGCCAUGCCGCGUAAGUGAUGAAGGCCUUAGGGUUGUAAAGCUCUUUUGUCCGGGAAGAUAAUGACGGUACCGGAAGAAUAAGCCCCGGCUAACUUCGUG